AACAGGAUUAGAUACCCUGGUAGUCCACACCGUAAACGAUGAGUGCUAGGUGUUUGAGGGUUUCCGCCCUUAAGUGCCGCAGCUAACGCAUUAAGCACUCCGCUUGGGGAGUACGACCGCAAGGUUGAAACUCAAAGGAAUUGACGGGGACCCGCGCAAGCGGUGGAGCAUGUGGUUUAAUUCGAAGCAACGCGAAGAACCUUACCAGGUCUUGACAUCCCUUGACAACUCCAGAGAUGGAGCGUUCCCUUCGGGGACAAGGUGACAGGUGGUGCAUGGUUGUCGUCAGCUCGUGUCGUGAGAUGUUGGGUUAAGUCCCGCAACGAGCGCAACCCUUAUUACUAGUUGCCAGCAUUUAGUUGGGCACUCUAGUGAGACUGCCGGUGACAAACCGGAGGAAGGCGGGGAUGACGUCAAAUCAUCAUGCCCCUUAUGACCUGGGCUACACACGUGCUACAAUGGCGCAUACAACGAGUUGCCAACCCGCGAGGGUGAGCUAAUCUCUUAAAGUACGUCUCAGUUCGGAUUGUAGGCUGCAACUCGCCUACAUGAAGUCGGAGUCGCUAGUAAUCGUGGAUCAGAAUGCCACGGUGAAUACGUUCCCGGGCCUUGUACACACCGCCCGUCACACCAUGAGAGUUUGUAACACCCAAAGCCGGUGGGGUAACCUUCGGGAGCCAGCCGUCUAAGGUGGGACAGAUGAUUAGGGUGAAGUCGUAACAAGGUAACC
rnacentral:rRNA from 1 species